AGAACGAACGCUGGCGGCAUGCCUAAUACAUGCAAGUCGAACGAACUCUUCGGAGUUAGUGGCGCACGGGUGCGUAACGCGUGGGAAUCUGCCCCUUGGUUCGGAAUAACAGUUGGAAACGACUGCUAAUACCGGAUGAUGACGAAAGUCCAAAGAUUUAUCGCCAAGGGAUGAGCCCGCGUAGGAUUAGCUAGUUGGUGAGGUAAAGGCUCACCAAGGCAACGAUCCUUAGCUGGUCUGAGAGGAUGAUCAGCCACACUGGGACUGAGACACGGCCCAGACCUCCGACGGGAGCAGCAGUAGGGAAUAGUAGGACAAGUGGGACGAAAGCCUGAUCCAGCAAUCGCCGCGUGAGUGAUGGAAGUCCGUUAGGUUAGUAAGUCUUACGUUUACCGAGAUAGAUAAUGACUAGUACGUAGGAAGUAACGUAACCGUACCCGGACCUAAACCGUUCCGUACG
rnacentral:rRNA from 1 species